rnacentral:snRNA from 1 species
GCAGAACCAGCGUCAGCUCC